GGGUCAGUAGGUUGGUCGUGCCACCGGUACGUACUGGUUUCACUGAUUCCUCCUUCCUGAAGGACCGUAAUGCCAUUAAUUUGGUGUUGCGGGGUGACAGGACUGUUACUUUGAAAAAAUUAGAGUGUUUAAAGCAAGCUAACGCUUGAAUACAUUAGCAUGGAAUAAUGAAAUAGGACGAUCGAUCCUAUUUUGUUGGUUUCUAGGAUUGACGUA
rnacentral:rRNA from 1 species